rnacentral:rRNA from 1 species
ACGCUCGACACCUACGGAGGCAGCAGUAGGGAAUCUUCCACAAUGGACGCAAGUCUGAUGGAGCAACGCCGCGUGAGUGAAGAAGGUCUUCGGAUCGUAAAACUCUGUUGUUAGAGAAGAACACGAGUGAGAGUAACUGUUCAUUCGAUGACGGUAUCUAACCAGCAAGUCACGGCUAACUACGUGCCAGUAGCCGCGGAAUCUGAGCGGGCUGGCAAGGC